UGCAGUCGAACGGUAACAUUUCUAGCUUGCUAGAAGAUGACGAGUGGCGGACGGGUGAGUAAUGCUUGGGAACUUGCCUUUGCGAGGGGGAUAACAGUUGGAAACGACUGCUAAUACCGCAUAAUGUCUUUGGACCAAACGGGGCUUAGGCUCCGGCGCAAAGAGAGGCCCAAGUGAGAUUAGCUAGUUGGUAAGGUAACGGCUUACCAAGGCGACGAUCUCUAGCUGUUCUGAGAGGAAGAUCAGCCACACUGGGACUGAGACACGGCCCAGACUCCUACGGGAGGCAGCAGUGGGGAAUAUUGCACAAUGGGGGAAACCCUGAUGCAGCCAUGCCGCGUGUGUGAAGAAGGCCUUCGGGUUGUAAAGCACUUUCAGUUGUGAGGAAAAGUUAGUAGUUAAUACCUGCUAGCCGUGACGUUAACAACAGAAGAAGCACCGGCUAACUCCGUGCCAGCAGCCGCGGUAAUACGGAGGGUGCGAGCGUUAAUCGGAAUUACUGGGCGUAAAGCGCACGCAGGCGGUUUGUUAAGCUAGAUGUGAAAGCCCCGGGCUCAACCUGGGAUGGUCAUUUAGAACUGGCAGACUAGAGUCUUGGAGAGGGGAGUGGAAUUCCAGGGUGUAGCGGUGAAAUGCGUAGUUAUCUGGAGGAACAUCAGUGGCGAAGGCGACUCCCUGGCCAAAGACUGACGCUCAUGUGCGAAAGUGUGGGUAGCGAACAGGAUUAGAUACCCUGGUAGUCCACACCGUAAACGCUGUCUACUAGCUGUGUGUGCCUUUAAGGCGUGCGUA
rnacentral:rRNA from 1 species